AAGAAUUCUCUAUUAAAUGGUGCUGGGAUAAAUGGCAAGCCAUAAGUAGAUGAUUGAAGCUGGACCCCUUGCUUACACCAUAAACAAAAGUCAACUUAAGGUGGAUUAGGUACUUAAUGUAAAUGUACAUUUACAUUUACUUUAAAUGUAAAACCUCAAACUACAAAACUCUGGAAGACAAACUAGGCAAUACCAUCCUUCACUUAGGAAUGGACAAAAAUUUUAUGACAAAGACACCAAAAGCAAUCGCAACAAAAGCAAAAAUUGACAAGUGGGAUCUAAUUAAACUUAGAAGCUUCUGCAGA